CCCCGCCCGCACGGGGCUGCUCUAUGACGAGCGGAUGACCGAGCACCAGCACCCAUGGGACAGGGAGCACCCCGAGGCGCCGCAGCGGGUGCGGCGGGUCAUGGAGCGCCUGGCGGAGCUGGGCCUGGC